UACGUAGGGUGCAAGCGUUGUCCGGAAUUACUGGGCGUAAAGAGUUCGUAGGCGGUGUGUCGCGUCGGCCGUGAAAACCUGCAGCUUAACUGUGGGCGUGCGGUCGAUACGGGCAUCACUGGAGUUCGGCAGGGGAGACUGGAAUUCCUGGUGUAGCGGUGAAAUGCGCAGAUAUCAGGAGGAACACCGGUGGCGAAGGCGGUGAUCUGGGCCGACACUGACGCUGUAGAGCGAAAGCGUGGGGAGCAAACAGG
rnacentral:rRNA from 1 species